CGGGGGCCGGGCGCGGAGGCACUUACGGUUCGGGCGGUGGGCGAGAGCGAUCCGUUGGGGAGCAACAUUUGCCAAGCCCAGGAAACAGAUAAAAAACCCCACCAGCCCGAGGGGCUUUUCCUACCUCGGAAUCGGAGGAGCUGUUUUGAUUCGUUUCUGAUUCAUUGACUAGAGACGAUUUGACAUCAGCUAAAUCCCUCUCUGCCGAGGAGUUUUCGGAGCUCUUCUCCUCCUGUUCGCCCUCGUCUUUGAAGGAAAUCAGUUCGUCGUUGGCGCCUAGGUCAUCCCCUCCACCGCCGUUCAGCUGCGGCAUUUUUUUUUCACCCACCAGCAGCAAUUUUGGAAGAAAAAUGAAGGAGGAAGAAAAGCCAAAAAAAAUCACCCCCAAAAAGUUUUGCCCCCCCAAAAAAUAUUGCAAGAAAAA
rnacentral:lncRNA from 1 species